AUUUUACACUAAAAAAUGCCAAAAAUUUCCGGUUAACCCGAACCGGACCUGAUUUAUUUGAAGAUCUCGGGUUCAGAACAGGUUCGGGUCAAACCCGAAAUGGAAAUUCGGGUUCGGGUCAAGUUCGGGUUGAACCCGAAUUCUUAGUUCAGGUUCGGGUCAAGAUCAAGUUCGGGUUCCGGUCUGACCGAACCCGACCCGUUCCGAGCCCUAUUCGGAAUAUCAAAUCGUAAAUUCAUGAAAUUCUAAUAAAUUCUGAAAAGUUCUUAAAUUUUAGUAUUUCAGGAAUUAAUUCUCAAAAGUUCUUAUGUUCCCAAAAAGUCUUAAAAAGUCUGAAAUUUAUUAAUUUUAAAAAACCUUUUCAAAAACAAAUUCCGAAUAAUAAGGGCUCUAAAGAAAUGGCGAGAGCAGCGUUUAGAGCAAUUGACCCUUUACAAAUUUGCAGCCUAUAUUCAGGCGGAAAAAUAUUCGUUUCUUGAUGACACAAUCUUCAAAGGUUUAUCCAUAUGGGAUAAGUUAUCACCCACAAACCAAUUUUUUCUUUAAAAGUAACACAUUUUUGCGUGCUUUAAUGGUUUUACUUUAUCAAAAGAAGAUUUUGGUUCAGAGAAAAUCAUCGAAAAACGAAUAUUUUUCCGCCUGAAUGAAGACUACAAAUUUGCAAAGGGUUGCUCUUAAUUUCAAUCUCCGAAUUUUAUGUCCAUCUUUUUAUGGGACUAUCACAUACGGGCAUAUUCGUAAUAUAACAUUCCAUAUAUUGAAACAGCAAAGAUAAACAAAAGACUUUUAUCCCAGCACCAUUUCAGUGCGAAUGAUUCCGUGAAUUGACAAAAUGACAUCUGUCCAGUCUAGUUUAUUGCUAGAAGUGCCUUGGUUUUAUUUAAACUUCUCGAACGGACUAUUGGCAUAAAAUUGAGUUUUGUUGGUCGUUUCAUUCGUUUCUGCCGUUUAACUGGAUAUUAACGCUUUUUUGUCGAAAUUAGUUGCACGACUCAUUUUCAAUGGCUUUCUUGUUUGGCAAAUUAAUUUUUCUUUUGUUU